rnacentral:rRNA from 1 species
GCACGGUCAGCAAUGGCAGUGGCGGACGGGUGAGUAACACGUAGGAAUCUAUCCCAGGGUGGGGGACAACAGCGGGAAACUGCUGCUAAUACCGCAUGAUACCUGAGGGUCAAAGGCGCAAGUCGCCUUGGGAGGAGCUUGCGUCUGAUUAGCUUGUUGGUGAGGUAAAGGCUCACCAAGGCUACGAUCAGUAGCUGGUCUGAGAGGAUGAUCAGCCACAUUGGGACUGAGACACGGCCCAAACUCCUACGGGAGGCAGCAGUGGGGAAUAUUGGACAAUGGGCGAAAGCCUGAUCCAGCAAUGCCGCGUGUGUGAAGAAGGUCUUCGGAUUGUAAAGCACUUUUGGCAGGGACGAUGAUGA